rnacentral:rRNA from 1 species
CCUACGGGUGGCAGCAGUGAGGAAUAUUGGUCAAUGGGCGGAAGCCUGAACCAGCCAAGUAGCGUGCAGGAUGACGGCCCUACGGGUUGUAAACUGCUUUUAUACGGGAAUAACGCGCCUUACGUGUAGGGCUUUGCAUGUACCGUAUGAAUAAGGACCGGCUAAUUCCGUGCCAGCAGCCGCGGUAAUACGGAAGGUCCGGGCGUUAUCCGGAUUUAUUGGGUUUAAAGGGUGCGUAGGCGGUUCGAUAAGUUAGAGGUGAAAUCCCGGGGCUCAACUCCGGCACUGCCUCUGAUACUGGCGGGCUAGAGUUUAGUUGCGGUAGGCGGAAUGUAUGGUGUAGCGGUGAAAUGCAUAGAGAUCAUACAGAACACCGAUUGCGAAGGCAGCUUGCUGCAGCGGAACUGACGCUGAUGCUCGAAAGCGCGGGUAUCGAACAGGAUUAGAUACCCCAGUAGUC